UAACACAUGCAAGUCGAACGAAACUCUUCGGAGUUAGUGGCGCACGGGUGCGUAACGCGUGGGAAUCUGCCCUUGGGUACGGAAUAACUCAGAGAAAUUUGUGCUAAUACCGUAUAAUGUCUUCGGACCAAAGAUUUAUCGCCCAAGGAUGAGCCCGCGUAAGAUUAGCUAGUUGGUGGGGUAAAAGCCUACCAAGGCGACGAUCUUUAGCUGGUCUGAGAGGAUGAUCAGCCACACUGGGACUGAGACACGGCCCAGACUCCUACGGGAGGCAGCAGUGGGGAAUAUUGGACAAUGGGCGAAAGCCUGAUCCAGCAAUGCCGCGUGAGUGAUGAAGGCCUUAGGGUUGUAAAGCUCUUUUACCCGGGAUGAUAAUGACAGUACCGGGAGAAUAAGCUCCGGCUAACUCCGUGCCAGCAGCCGCGGUAAUACGGAGGGAGCUAGCGUUGUUCGGAAUUACUGGGCGUAAAGCGCGCGUAGGCGGUCUUUUAAGUCAGAGGUGAAAGCCCGGGGCUCAACCCCGGAAUAGCCUUUGAAACUGGAAGACUUGAAUCUUGGAGAGGUCAGUGGAAUUCCGAGUGUAGAGGUGAAAUUCGUAGAUAUUCGGAAGAACACCAG
rnacentral:rRNA from 1 species